ACUGCUUUCCCUCAGCACAUCAAAAUCUGGGCGCUGUUCUCCUGUCGUGGUGGGAGAAAUACCAAGACAGCUUGUGUAAUUUUAGUUUGUCUGACAGAAAGUGUUACGCUGUUUCUCCCCAAGGAUGUAACUUACAGAGAGCACUCAGAUGGGGUUUGUGGUGGUUCUCUCUGGGCUGUGUAAGGCCACAUAUGUUCCUCCCUACACACUCACACACAGCAAACAUGCAGAGGAAGGGUGUAUUUCCCGCGGGUGUUUUUGCAGGACCCGUAGCAGCAACUCUGGUCUUGUAGGCUCUCCCUCAUUUUGUCCUUGUCCACACCUCCCUGCCCACAACGUCAAACACAAGGUGCUCAGACCUGAUUUUAGAACCCAGCUUGCCUCAGCCCAACAGAUUAGUCCUGGUAGCUGUGCAGGGCUGGUUUUUGCUGCAUCCAUGUAUUAAUGACCCCUACUCUUGAAUCUGAGUCAGCACUUCCCACAAAGCACCAUCACCUUUUCUCCUGUGCUUUUCUUUUGUAUUACUGUGGGGGAGAACACUGUUUGAGAAUGAGAGGUUUUUUUCCAAUCAGGCAGCCACUAAGCUCCAUGCCACUGCUCACUCACUCCCCUGCCAGCGGGGUUGUGGAGAGAAUCAGAAGAGUAAAAGCUGGAAAACUCAUUGGAUGAGGUAAAAACAGAUUAAUAGGGAAGGAAAAAGCCACACACACAAACAAAAUGACACAAGGAAUUCAUUCACCACUUUCCAUGGGGACGCAGGUGUUUGGCCAACUCCAGGAAAGCAGCUCUCCAUCACACGUAAUGGUUAUUUGGGAAGAAAAACGCCGUCAGUCCAAACAUCCCCCCCCCUUUCUUCUUCUUCUCCCUUACCUUAUAUACUGAUUAUGAUCUCAUGUAGUAUGGAAUGUCCCUUUGGUCAGUUGGGAUCAUCUGUCCUGACUGUGUCUCCUCCCAGUUUCCCAUGCACCCCCACUCCCCUCACCAGCAUGUAAGCACUGCUCAGCAAUAACAAAAACAUCCCUGUGUUAUGUCUCUGUAGAAGUUUCUCUGAUUCCUGUCUUGAGCAAGGCAGAUGUGUUCCUUGUUGAGGGCUUCUUCAAGCUAUCCCAUACAAAUGUAGCUACUGUAAUUGCACCUCAGUGAGACAGAAAAGAAGGAAGAUUACAGUUCACCUAGAAGAUUCAGCAAAUUCAUAAACUCUGCACUUGAUAACUGAGCUCCAAUAAGCCUUCCUGGAACAAUGCUCAUAUUUUAAUACUUUUACCAAGUAGUUUGCAAGUGACUUUUAGGAAACUAGAGUGCUUGAAGUGGAAACCAGGUAUGUCAUAAUUCAUUAUAGGAAAAAGUAUCUUUCCUUUUGCAUUAAUGAAUUCUGUAAGAUUUAUGAACUGUAUGUUCAUAAAGAUGCACAACUGCUUCAGAACAAAUGCAUCACAAUUUUUCUAGACAGUGAUUAUAAUUUGUGAAUUAGAGCUAAUUAAGGUAUGUCAGUAACAUAAUGUAAAAAAUGGCUGAUUACCGGUUGCAGGAAAGAUUUUGGAGCUUCCUGCGAAGUUUAAUUUUGGUGAGUAUAUUUAGAUUUAAAAAUGUACCCUCUGAUAAGAGGUAUUUUAUUCUUUGU